AUAGAUAAAAUCACUACGAGGUUGAAAUUCCGUGAAAGGACAUUAUAUAGCCUACAAGUAGGCUAUAUUGAAAUAUUUUCCAAUUCUAGUGUGUGUGUGUGUGUGUGUGUGUGUGUGUGUGUGUGUGUGUGUGUGUGUGUGUGUGUGUGUGUGUGUGUGUGUGUGUGUGUGUGUGUGUGUGUGUGUGUGUGUGUGUGUGUGUGUGUGUGUGUGUGUGUGCUGUGGUAACCCGGCCCUUGAUGUCGCCGGGUUCCACGUACAAAUCAUGCUUGGCAGUGAGGGUUUUAAGCCGAUCACGGCGUUUAUUACAAUUAAUCCUACAACAGGGGACACACACGCUCCAUAGGGUCUCCGUGAGCCUCUAUUCCGCAGUGGACCCGAGAGCUUCUCCGCUGCCUCUCCUUCGCUCCCGAUGUUUCAGUUCAAGUCGUGACCGUGUUAACUGGUGACCCUCAGCCGAAUGCUUCGCUUGUUGUCGUGGCACUGGCUACGCCAGAUGUUGGAAACGGCGGGACCCGACACGUAGCUGUCCUUGCGAAUGCCUCUUUGAUUUGUUAUAGGCCUAUGUCACGGAACAAUUGAAGACCGGAAGAAGCUCGCGGAGUAGUGUAACUGCUCUUCCGCUUAGCUUAGCUAAACUGUUUACCAUGGCGGAGGCAGAUCGAUACCUUUGGACCAAGUCUCUCCAACCUACCUAAAUUGUCCUACGACGACGUCCUAAGGAUAGUAAAUCAGCACUUACGUGUCGAAACAUCUAAACUACGCAAAGGAUAUAAGUUAUUCUGGGAGAAGUACAUUUUAAAUUACAUAGGUAAGUGUUUCAAAUCUGUUGACACUGUGUAGCUUGACUGUGACAGAUAGCACUAAGUGUAAUACAUGUCAGUUAAAACGUAUCCUUUUUAAUUAAUCGCAAAAUAUUAUUUACACUGGUAGGAAUACAUAUUUAGUUUGAGUGUCUCUGAAACUUUGCCUGACGAACCCCAAGAGGUUUGGUAUAGGUAGGUAGCCACUGCCUACCGUACAUGUAAGUGUCGAUAGUAUGUCAGAUUAGCUCCAGGCUACUGUCAGAACAUAGUGGCUGGGUGGCUGUCAUAAGCUACCAAUGCCCAUACAUUUUGCUGUAUGGUGUGUUAAUCUUUCCCUCUCUUACUGCAGUGUCAGAUUUAGUUAAUUUGGAAGUAGCAGUUCGGGCGAACUGCUACUGUUCCCAGAAGAAAAACGAUGAGCCUCACACCCUGCAGGCUACAGUGCUAGGAAGUCAGGCCUGAGUCUGAAAUCAAACUCUAUCUCGCUUUUCAUAGUCUUUUGUGAAUCAAUGGGACUGUUACUUAGGCCUACCUUUCUGACCACUUUAAUUAGAUUUACAUUUUGUGAUUCAAACAACAGGCCCACCUCGUAAUAUGUAGCAUAAUGGAUAGCCUAGACCUAGAGCAUGGUUCCAGACCUUCACAGAUCCAGUUGCAUGUUCAGUCUGUGUGUGUUUUUAUUAUUAUUGUUUCUUGUUGCUGUUCCAAAAUGCUCUCUCUUUCUCCAGAUCUGCUGUUGCAGAUGAUAAUGUUUUGUUUCAUGUCUGCUGUUGCAGAUUGUCAUGUUUUGUUUUAUAUCUGCUCUUCCAGACACAUGACUACCACUUCACAGGGGAGAAAAGCGUGCCAACACCUCUGUCGUGGACCAGUGUUCUGCAGUCGUGGACCAAGGACACAGGUUUAUGUGUAUACCUCAGGCCUAGCCAAACAUCCUGUAUAGUCUACUCAAUAAUAGUAUUCGAAGUUGUUGUAUAUAGACAGACGCGACUAACACUGACUUAAGUGUUGCUACACUGACAAUAUGAUUUAUGUGCUGACAUAUUUUUUCUUUUUGCUCCAGGGGAUUCGCCCGGAACCCACUGACCAACUUGUGGUCAGGAAACCCAAGGUUUGGGUUAGGUGUUUUAUUUUAGCACAUACAUGGACACAUACCUCCUGAAUGCCAAGUAAAUAUGGCCGAGGGACACACACCCCAUUAAAUGUAUUUAUUUCUGUUAAAUGUAUAUAUGUAAAUAUUUAUGUAUAUAUAAUUGGAAACGAACAUUCCUGAACAUUUGUUUAAGGUAACACACACUGAGCACCUUUAAAACAAGCCUGAAGGCUUUUAUGUUUGCAUUAGCUUUCUGCUACAUCUUAAAUACAUUGCACUUUCUAAAAAGCUUUUUUAAUUUAGCCUUUAUUUUCUAUUUUAAUACUAAAAUGCCUUUAACUUUCUAUUUUACUCAUUUCUCUGCAUAUUUUUUCUUUUACUUAUCUAUUUUAUUGUAUGACAAUGUUUGUAUGUGAAGCACUUUGAGUCUGCCCUUGUGUAUGAAAAGUGCUAUAUAAAUAAAGUUGCCUUGCCUAACACAC